GCCUGGCUGGCUCAGGAAGAGUGUAUGGCUCUUGAUCUUGGGGUUGUGGGUUCGAGCCCCAUGCUGGGUG
rnacentral:tRNA from 1 species